AUAAUAGAUUUGGAAGUGCAUAUACUAAAACGGGAAAGAUACAAAGAGGAUUAACAUGACCUCACCAAGAAGAUGACAUGAAAAUUUGCAAAAUGUCAUAUUUUGUA
rnacentral:snRNA from 1 species